rnacentral:rRNA from 1 species
UGCAUCGAUGAAGAACGCAGCGAAAUGCGAUACGUAGUGUGAAUUGCAGAAUUCCGCGAAUCAUCGAGUCUUUGAACGCAAGUUGCGCCCGAGGCUUGUCCAAGGGCAUUUCCGCUAGAGCGUCACCGCGCCCCCCACCGAUCCACUCUCGCCGCGAGGCGACAGUCGGGUCGAGUGAAAGUGGCCGUCCCGGUUAGCUGAGUGGUGGUCUUCGCGAGAAGGCCGCCAUCCUUGGAAGGGUCGGCUGAAAUGGAUGGAAUUGGGCCGCCGUGGUGACACAGUCCGCGAUCGGGUGAUUUCGUCGCGAGCCUCCUCCGGGAGGGUCGCCGUGAAUUUUUCUAAGUGCGAGUCUGCGUCCCCCAGUUGGCUUUUUGGUUCCUCAUGCAGGUCGAGCGCGCCCCCCGCGGCGCGCGUCACGCAUCAGACCUCUAAUCGGAAAAGACUACCCGCUGAGUUUAAGCAUAUCAAUAAGCGGAG